ACCUAUAACAAAAGUAAUCUUAUUUUGCAUUGAAAUAAUCCUCUACCAUUACUAAUUUUAAAAUAUGUGUAUGAUACAUGUGCACUGUGCUACUAUUAAAAAACUGGUAUUGUAUUUGUGUAUGUAUGUUGUGACUAAAUUGAUUAAAAAUGACUCAUUCCAUACAGAUGCAAUUGUGUUCAGUACCUAUUACUAGAUAUAAAUAUAAGUAAUUCAUAUAUUUAUCAGUAUAUCAAAUACAAGGACAGAUUAAGAAGUUUCCGAUAUGAGAAUAUCAAUAAGAAAUAAAAUAAACUCCUAGCGAUGACACCAAAAACUUAUCAACUUAUCUUUAUAAUUUUUUUUUAGUUGAAAGAAGUGAUAAAUAACUAUCAUAACACAUUUGUAUUUGGUAUAAAAAAUAUAGUUGUAAAACUUAUCAUUUAAUUCCUACAUACUCUUCCUAUUUUUAGAAAAAGUUACUAAUUGAACUAACAUCCCACAAAUAACUCAGUAUUUUCCAAACAUUUAUAUUCAUCUAAUCAAUGUAUGUGUAAACGUACAUAUAAUAAUAAUUAAAAAUGUAUAAUAUAUUGUUGCGUAUUUAGUACUGGAUUAAUUAGAUAAUAAUACACAGUAAAAUGCAUAUAUAUAUUACACAUAUUAAUAUCAUUAUAUUAUAAACUUAUUUAUAUAUAAAAAUUGUGUUAAAAGCAACGGAAAAUAACAUUUAGUUUUGUAAGUGUUAACUAGUUACUUGUUUUAAAAAUGGAAGUAAUAAUUCAAAGAAGUUAAUACCAGUCUUAAGUAGAAGGAAAUAAAAUGAUAUAACAGUAUCUUUUAUACAAACAAGACACACGAACAAAAAACACAUGAACAAAAGAUAUAACCUGUGAUAGUUCUGAACCAUACCCAUUUAGUCCUAGUGCAGACGUGCCUCUUUCAUUGUUAUGAUUGUGCUACAAUCAUAUGCUUAUCUUUACUGUUCUUAACAGUAAUCCCAACAUGGAAUUCCAACCAUGUCCUUAACAGGCACAGCAAAGAAGGACAUGUGAUCGCAGCAAGAUCGCAACGGCAACAGUCGCAUGUCUGCACUGGGCUUCAAUAUGUGUGUGCUAUAAAUUUAACUUAAUUUGCUAAUAUUGCUGAGAAAGUAAAUGGUUGAAGAUGAAGACAUGAUACAUGAGAUGAUAAUCUGAAUGAAUUUCAUUACAACACAGCAAUAUGCAUAGUGCCAUUGAGACACUUCAUUGCUUUGAAUACAAGCAAUUGGCAAGCUAUAACGUUAAAGGACAUUGACACGAAAGAGGAACUAUAUUACAAAUUACUUUACCAAAACGACAUGUCACUCGCGGUACUCCAUCUGUCGCAUCAGGUGAGCUUGCCGUACCUAAAGUUUCAUGCAUUGUCAUAUAUAUAUAUAUAUAGGCAGUACAUUUUGUACCUUUACCGCCAACUAAUACAUGAUACUAUAAUUAUAAUACCGUAAUGCAAACUA